rnacentral:rRNA from 1 species
GAUGAACGCUGGCGGCGUGCCUAAUACAUGCAAGUCGAGCGAACAGACGAGGAGCUUGCUCCUCUGACGUUAGCGGCGGACGGGUGAGUAACACGUGGAUAACCUACCUAUAAGACUGGGAUAACUUCGGGAAACCGGCGCUAAUACCGGAUAAUAUCUUGAACCGCAUGGUUCAAUAGUGAAAGACGGUUUUGCUGUCACUUAUAGAUGGAUCCGCGCCGCAUUAGCUAGUUGGUAAGGUAACGGCCUACCAAGGCAACGAUGCGUAGCCGACCUGAGAGGGUGGUCGGCCACACUGGAACUGAGACACGGUCCAGACUCCUACGGGAGGCAGCAGUAGGGAAUCUUCCGCAAUGGGCGAAAGCUUGACGGAGCAACGCCGCGUGAGUGAUGAAGGUCUUCGGAUCGUAAAACUCUGUUAUUAGGGAAGAACAAAUGUGUAAGUAACUAUGCACGUCUUGACGGUACCUAAUCAGAAAGCCACGGCUAACUACGUG